rnacentral:rRNA from 1 species
GACGAACGCUGGCGGCGUGCUUAACAAAUGCAAGUCGAACGGAAAGGCCCUGCUUUUGUGGGGUGCUCGAGUGGCGAACGGGUGAGUAACACGUGAGUAACCUGCCCUUGACUUUGGGAUAACUUCAGGAAACUGGGGCUAAUACCGGAUAGGAGCUCCUGCUGCAUGGUGGGGGUUGGAAAGUUUCGGCGGUUGGGGAUGGACUCGCGGCUUAUCAGCUUGUUGGUGGGGUAGUGGCUUACCAAGGCUUUGACGGGUAGCCGGCCUGAGAGGGUGACCGGCCACAUUGGGACUGAGAUACGGCCCAGACUCCUACGGGAGGCAGCAGUGGAGAAUAUUACACAAUGGGCGGAAGCCUGAUGCAGCAACGCCGCGUGCGGGAUGACGGCCUUCGGGUUGUAAACCGCUUUCGCCUGUGACGAAGCGUGAGUGACGGUAAUGGGUAAAGAAGCACCGGCUAACUACGUG